AUGCCAACAAUGCAUCAUCACAUGGAAAAGAAAACAAAGAGGGUGAAGUUAGAAAUACUCAAAAGCAACAAGAACAAAUCCAACAACACAAUUGUUCUCAUCAAGCUCCAUUCUAACAAACUUCAUACUUUCAAAAAAAAAAAACUUGAGAUUCAUAAUCGGAAGAGGAUAGAGAACAAGAAAAGUAACUUGAGAUUCACCGUCGUUUUUCUUCCUCUCCUCCAUGGCUCAACCGCGUUUCUGGUCUUGCUUAUUCUGUUAUGCUUUCUUUCUUGUUUUAUAAAGAAAUAUUGA